rnacentral:rRNA from 1 species
UUCGGGGGGAACGAGCGAUAGUCUACGUGUACCGGGCGUUAAAGAGUCUUAAGGCGGUCGGGGAGCCUUUAGUGACGGAAGUAUAGUACGGAUAUCAUCAGGCGACCGACUUUGAGGAUGAGAGAAGAUGGCGGUACUUUCUAAUUUUAGGGGUGACAUCUCCGUUACAUUCGAUGGGGACCAUCAAUAAGUGAUUGCGGCCUUCUUGUUUCAUUUUAAUUUUAGACCUGACGCUGCAAAGACGAAAGUGUGGGAGCGAACAGG